rnacentral:rRNA from 1 species
CCUACGGGUGGCAGCAGUAGGGAAUUUUCGUCAAUGGGCGCAAGCCUGAACGAGCAAUGCCGCGUGAACGAGGAAGGUCUUCGGAUCGUAAAGUUCUGUUGCAGGGGAAAAAGAGCGGAGAGAGGAAAUGAACUCCGAUUGAUAUUACCCUUCGAGGAAGUCACGGCUAACUACGUGCCAGCAGCCGCGGUAAUACGUAGGUGGCGAGCGUUAUCCGGAAUGAUUGGGCGUAAAGGGUUCGUAGGCGGCCUGAUAGGUCUGGAGGGAAAGGUACCGGAUAAACCGGUACAGGGAUUGGAGACUGGCGGGCUAGAGAGCAGGAGAGGGGGGUGGAACUCCAUGUGUAGCGGUAAAAUGCGUAGAGAUAUGGAAGAACACCAGUGGCGAAGGCGGCCGCCUGGCCUGUUACUGACGCUGAGGCACGAAAGCGUGGGGAGCAAAUAGGAUUAGAUACCCCUGUAGUC